AACGAACGCUGGCGGCAGGCCUAACACAUGCAAGUCGAGCGAAGCCGUCGGGCUUAGCGGCGGACGGGUGAGUAACGCGUGGGAACGUGCCCUUUGGUACGGAAUAGCCCCGGGAAACUGCGAGCAAUACCGCACGUGCCCUUCGUGGGAAGGAUUUAUCGCCAAAGGAUGGGACCGCGGUGGAUUAGGAGGUGAGUGGGGUAAUGGCUUACCAGGCCGACGAGCCAUAGUUGGUUUGAGAGGAUGAUCAGCCACACUGGGACUGAGACACGGCCCAGACUCCUACAGGAGGCGGCAGUGGGGAAUCUUGGACAAUGGGGGAAGCCCUGAACGAGCCAGGCCGCGUAAUCUAUGAAGGCCUUAGGGUUGUAAAGAUCUUUCAGUGGGGAAGAUAAUGACUGUACCCAAAGAAGAAGCCCCGGCUAACUCCGUGCCAGCAGCCGCGGUAAAAC
rnacentral:rRNA from 1 species